CGUUAUUAAACACUCAACGGUGGACGCGACUGCAGCAGCGGCAGAAGUGCUGCGACGCUUUAAAACAUGGUGACUGUGGAUCGGUUCAAUCCUGGGAUUCACUCAGUUCUGGAGGAUUGUGAAGCUGAAAAACUGCCCAAAACUGAUGAUUUGAUGUCAGAGACGCUGAACGUGUGUCAGUCCUUCAAAACAGGCCCACAGAAAGUGCCCAUAAGUGAUAGGAAACUCGGUAACGUCAUAUGACCAUCUGUAUCCUCCCUCUAGUCAUCAAGUUUGCAAUGAAUCCCUUCUAUGAAGCCAACGCAGCGAUUUCCUCCACAGCUCUCGAGAGGAAAGUACAGUUUCUUGGGAAGAAGCAUCUGCUCAGGUGAUUCAUCUUAUACAUGUACUCUUCUGUUUUUGCAGUCUUGAUGUCAUGCAUAAAUAUACAGGUGUGUUGUUAGUACUGUCAGAUACAUAUUUCAAUUUCAGUUGUUCAUACUCAUCAGAUUCUGACCCGCUACUGUACGACAGAUGUCUGUGAAUAAUGAUUAUUCUUAAAGACUUGUUUAAAGCAUCACACAGGAAUGCUUUCUGCAGAAAUUACACAUCAAACCAUUAAAAUGCAUAAUUUCUAACCUGUGGUCAACAUUAAUGUUGUCCGAUAAUAACCUUAAAUCAAAUAAACAAUUUUAUUAUUCAAUACUUCUUUAAUUUUAAUUGAACAAACUACAAUAUUUAGACUUUAGUGCUUCUUUUCAAAAUAGUGCUUAAACGCUUCACCUCAAUCAUAUUUUUAAUACAGUACAGUGUAUAUAUUUGGCACUCUCUACAUAAUUAUUUUAACAUACAUUAGAAAUUAAUCACAGUUACAGGAAAAUAAAAUUACACACACACACACACACACACACACACACAACACAGUGACAAAAAUCAGCAUUUGUCAUGUUUUCCAGUAAAAACAUCUAAACAUCCUUAAAACAUAAUGCAUUUACUUACAGUAAGACUCAAACAGCAUGUGAUAGACCCGUUUCCACAUAAUGCAUUCAUUUUUUUUAUUUUGACUAAAAAUAAAACAAAAUGAUUUGCAGAUGAGGUAUGAAAAAUAAAUAAAAAAUAUGUCAGGGGAAAAUAAGUGCUAUUUUCUUACACAGCUGCACUUCUCAAAUAAAAUCAUAUCGUUUUAAGGACGUUUAGAUAUUUUU